AAGGUAUUCCCUCCGUUCAAAAAAGCUUGUCCCUCAAAUGGAUGUAUCUAACACCAAGUUAGUGCUAGAUACAUCCGUUCGAGAGACAAGCUUGUGACAAGUUUUUUCGGACAGAGAGAGUAAAAA
rfam:Triticum aestivum genome assembly, contig: Triticum_aestivum_CS42_TGACv1_scaffold_094734_2AL